AGGACUAACGCUGGCGGCGUGCCUAACACAUGCAAGUCGAACGAGAGUAGCAAUACUCUAGUGGCAGACGGGUGAGUAACACGUGGUCAACCUACCUCUUAGUGGGGGAUAACUAGCCGAAAGGUUAGCUAAUACCGCAUUCGAUCUUCGAUCGGCAUCGAUUGAAGAUGAAAGGCGCAAGUCGCUAAGAGACGGGACCGCGUCCCAUUAGCUAGUUGGUAGGGUAAUGGCCUACCAAGGCGACGAUGGGUAGCUGGCUUGAGAGAGCGACCAGCCACACUGGGACUGAGACACGGCCCAGACUCCUACGGGAGGCAGCAGUGAGGAAUUUUCCGCAAUGGGCGAAAGCCUGACGGAGCGACGCCGCGUGUGGGAAGAAGGCCUUCGGGUCGUAACCACUGUCGAAGGGGAAGAUAUUGACGGUACCCUUGGAGGAAGCCCGGCUAACUACGCGCCAGCAGCCGC
rnacentral:rRNA from 1 species